GCACGCGUAGCUCAGCUGGUAGAGCAGCUGACUCUUAAUCAGCGGGUCCGGGGUUCGAGUCCCCGCGCGUGUA
rnacentral:tRNA from 1 species